GUCUUUUUGAUAAUAAUUUAAAGUCUAGCCUGCCCACUGAAUUUUAAAAGGCCGCAGUAUUUUGACUGUGUUAAGGUAGCAUAAUCAUUAGUUUUUUAAUUGGAAACUUGAAUGAAGGGUUGGAUAAGAAAAUAACUUUCUUUUUGAUUAAUUUAAAAUUUUAUUUUUAAGUUAAAAAGCUUAAAUUUAUUUAUGGGACGAGAAGACCCUAUAGAGUUUAACAUUUAUUUAAAUAAUGUUGAAAUGGUAAUAAUUAAAUUUUUUACUUAAAUGUUUUAUUGGGGUGAUAGAAAAAUUAAAUUAACUUUUUUUUUAUUUAUACAAAAAUUUUUGAAUUUUUGAUCCAUAAAUAAUGAUUAUAAGAACAAACUACCUUAGGGAUAACAGCGUAAUAUAUUUUAGAGUUCUUAUCGAAAAAUGUGAUUGCGACCUCGAUGUUGGAUUAAAAUAAAUUUUUGGUGCAGAAGCUAAAAAAUUAGGUCUGUUCGACCUUUAAAAUUCUACA
rnacentral:rRNA from 1 species